GUGUCAGCCGCCGCGGUAAUACGGAGGGUGCAAGCGUUGUUCGGAAUUAUUGGGCGUAAAGCGCGUGCAGGCGGUCGGGUAAGUCAGAUGUGAAAGCCUUCCGCUUAACGGGAGAAGUGCAUUUGAAACUGCUCGGCUGGAGUACGGGAGAGGAGAGUGGAAUUCCCGGUGUAGAGGUGAAAUUCGUAGAUAUCGGGAGGAACACCAGUGGCGAAGGCGGCUCUCUGGUCCGAUACUGACGCUGAGACGCGAAAGCGUGGGGAGCAAACAGGAUUAGAUACCCUGGUAGUCCACGCUGUAAACGAUGGGCACUAGGUGUAGGAGGUAUUGACCCCUUCUGUGCCGAAGCUAACGCAUUAAGUGCCCCGCCUGGGGAGUACGGCCGCAAGGCUAAAACUUAAAGGAAUUGACGGGG
rnacentral:rRNA from 1 species